UACAGAGGGUGCGAGCGUUAAUCGGAAUUACUGGGCGUAAAGCGCACGUAGUCGGCUUGCCAAGUCGGGUGUGAAAUCCCCGGGCUCAACCUGGGAACUGCAUCCGAAACUGGCUUGCUAGAGUAUGGGAGAGGGAAGCGGAAUUUCUGGUGUAGCAGUGAAAUGCGUAGAUAUCAGAAGGAACAUCAGUGGCGAAGGCGGCUUCCUGGACCAAUACUGACGAUCAGGUGCGAAAGCGUGGGGAGCAAAC
rnacentral:rRNA from 1 species